GGACACGAAGGUGAGAAAUCUGAAUGGGAUAGUGAAUUCCCAGCAAGGUUUUGCCUUGUGAAGUUGGCUCCUCCAGGAUAUGGGAACGAGAAGUGACUUCUACCAGUAACAGCUGGGUAGAAGGCUGUGGAUGAUGCAGCCUAGAAAUUUCCUUAAGAAAAAACCUUAUGGCCUAACCACUCUGAAGCCAAUAGUAAAACCCUUCACUGGCUUUAGCACUGCCAAGAUCUAAGCCCCAAAAUAAAGUCAAUAUCAAGGAAGGCUCCAACAACACUGUUUUUCAAAGGUUUCCUUUAGAUGACCCUCCUCUAGAUCACAGUGACAAUCCAUAAUUACAGCAGCCUGAAGAUGGCUUGAACUGGGAUAAUCCAACUCUGAUAAAUGCAUGAGAAUUAUCUAGUGUAAGCUUCACCUACAUCAACUCUCCAGUUCAAGUUCUCCCAGCCGAGUUUGCAUUGUGUGCCCUUGUACCAUGAUUUGUCUUCCCUCACUCUGCAGGAUGCCACUCACCACACUUGGCAAGCAUGUUAACAAAAAUGGACACAGACCACAGUGCCCUCAUAGAGAAGGGCUUCCUUCAUGGAGACAUGACUCAUCUCUGUAACCUCAGAGCAUGGCCAUUCCUUUAGCACAUAACCUCUUGUGCCAGCCUC